AGAACGAACGCUGGCGGCAGGCUUAACACAUGCAAGUCGAGCGCCCCGCAAGGGGAGCGGCAGACGGGAGAGUAACACGUGGGAACGUACCUUUCGGUUCGGAACAACCCAGGGAAACUUGGGCUAAUACCGGAUACGUCCGUAAAGGAGAAAGAUUUAUCGCCGAAAGAUCGGCCCGCGUCUGAUUAGCUAGUUGGUGAGGUAACGGCUCACCAAGGCGACGAUCAGUAGCUGGUCUGAGAGGAUGAUCAGCCUCACUGGGACUGAGACACGGCCCAGACUCCUACGGGAGGCAGCAGUGGGGAAUAUUGGACAAUGGGCGCAAGCCUGAUCCAGCCAUGCCGCGUGGGUGAUGAAGGCCCUAGGGUUGUAAAGCCCUUUCGGCGGGGAAGAUAAUGACGGUACCCGCAGAAGAAGCCCCGGCUAACUUCGCGCCAGCAGCCGC
rnacentral:rRNA from 1 species